rnacentral:rRNA from 1 species
AUUGAACGCUGGCGGCAGGCCUAACACAUGCAAGUCGAACGAGUGGCGGACGGGUGCGUAAUGUCUGGGAAACUGCCCGAUGGAGGGGGAUAACUACUGGAAACGGUAGCUAAUACCGCAUACCAUCGGAUGUGCCCAGAUGGGAUUAGCUAGUAGGUGGGGUAAUGGCUCACCUGGGCGACGAGCCCUAGCUGGUCUGCGAGGAUGACCAGCCACCCUGGAACUGAGACACGUUCCAGACUCCUACGGGAGGCAGCAGUGGGGAAGAUUGCACAAUGGGCGAAAGCCUGAUGCAGCCAUGCCGCGUGUAUGAAGAAGGCCUUCGGGUUGUAAAGUACUUUCAGCGGGGAGGCGUUACCCGCAGAAGAAGCACCGGCUAACUCCGUGCCAGCCGCCGCGGUAAUUC